CUUCCAAACUGUACACAACCCACACUGAAUACCUGCUUCCCUCUAGGCCUGGGCACUUCUGUUCCCUUUGCCCAGCAUACCUUUGUCCCUCCCCACAUUUUCAACACUUGUACUUCUAUUUUUCCCUUAGGACUUCAUUCGUGUAUCACCUCCUCCAGGAAGCAUUCCCUGAUAACACCCUGGCCACAUCCCUGGAGGCUGGUUUAUAUGCCCUUCCUCUGUUUCCAUAGUGACUUCUAUUUUCUACUUACCAUGAGGCACAUCACACUGUAUCUGUCUUUACCACUGGAUACGUCUUGUUUAUUCUUCUAUUUGCAACGUUCUAGAAUCCCUGAAUAUUUGACAACGUAUGCUUUCCCUCUACCAUAUGGCAUGAGUGAGACCAGGGUUGGAACAAUGAUCACUCAAUGUUCCAAGAUUCAUGUAAAAAGAAGUCUUUUGUUUUAAUCACUGAGAACUUCCGGAGAAAAGAAGAAAGUUCUUCAUGGAUCUGAUGCCUACAUGCUAUCUGCCUGGGUGCCACUGGAGCUCUGAAUUUUACAUACCAGGAGAAGAUUAGGACACCUAGAGAGACACUAGGGGUUCCUUUGCACAGAAGAAAGGCCACAUGAAGAUGGGGACACAGCAAGAAGGCAGCGGCAGCAAGCAAAGGAGAGAGGCCUCUGAGGAAACCAACCCUGCCAAACACCUGCUGCUUGGACUUCUAGCGUCCAGAACUGUGGACUCUUAUCAAUACCGAACAUUGAAAUCUGGAGGCUCGGCCAUCAGAACUCUUACACAGCACAGAAGACGAGUUUCACGGGUCACUCAGCAUCUACUGGAAGGAUGGAAAAAAUCAAGAAUUUGGCACCCUAAACACAACAUGAGAAGGUUUCACUCAGUAAUGGCCUCCUGAAAACAACUUAAUCUUCUUGGACAAGACUCUGAACUGAAAUCAAGGUUUCAAAAUAUUUUGUUGUGAGUGAUGAAGCUGUCUGGACCUAACUUUUCCGAGAGGCCAAGAAACCAUUCUGUAAUCCUGCAAAAUGGUUUCUGAAGAGUCUGGUGAAAUGCAACUGUUAUCCCUCACUUUGCAUUUUGCUCCAACGAUUCUGAGGUGCAACUUAUGGAUGAGACUGAUUUCUUUCCAUAUUGCUGUAGUAAAUUGGUUUUUGUUGUUUUCAUGGGCUUUGUAAAUCUUGCUGAUAAAAUCCAUAAGUGAUUUGCUAACAUAAAAGCUAACUGGAGAAACAUAAAAAAUAAUUCAAAAAUCAUUUCAUCUUAUCAACUGGAUUAAAAUUAAAAUUAUUAGAAAUACUAAUGAUAGUAUUUCUUUCCAGAGUGGUAAUGGAGUUUUUUUCCUUUUUAUUAAUAGCCCUUAAUGUAUCUUAUGGGAACAAUUAAUAGACAUUCUUCAAACUCCUUCAGAAAGCCCAAUGACAAGUGGCAUUUUUACCAGCGAGAUUCUCAGCGAAUAUAUAAUUCUUUGUCAAUAUUCAAAUUAAGGCAGAAACUCUAGAGUCUGAUCUGUAUCUAUUUCAUCUUUUAAAUGUGUUGAAAGGCCUCUGAGUGCAUCUUAAGCAGUUGGUAAAUAUUUUUCAGGUCAUCACAUACAGGAACUGGACCCCAGUUUUUCCUAAAAAAAUAUGUAUGUACAGAUGACAGAAAAAAAAUUGCCUUCAGAAAAUGGAACCCAUGUGCCAAGGCCUGGUCAGUAAAAAAAUCCCUAAUUUUUGCUUGUUUUAUAAUUUGUCUUAGGUUUUCUCUGACACUAGUGGAUUUCUUUUUUAAGGCAGUCAUAGUUCUAAUACUGUUCAGGCCUUGAAAAAUCCAAUCUAGGCUGGAUUAUGGUGGCUCACACUUGUAGUCCCAGCACUUUUGGAGCUCUGGGUA
rnacentral:lncRNA from 1 species